CAACCCAUCAGGAAGCAUGUUGUCUAUUAGUGGCUCUCAUGCAGUUCUCUCAUUUUAGCAACCUCUAAUUAAGAUACACAGGAAGCCUUCCCUGUUUUUUCCACGAAAAGGAUUUUUAUUUCUCUGUCUUUGAAUCUUAAAGACAUUUGAUUCUGUAGAAGGCGUGAAAUAAUUCUUGGAAACAUUUUCAUGUCCUUGUAUUAUCUUGAAGAAAAAAUAGUCUAGCAUCCAACUAAAUACAGGGAAUGUGUGUUAGGGCAUAGUUCUCCCCUUUCAUAGCAUAAGAUGCUAAAAUGUGCUGGAAAUUGUAUUCUUCUUCAAAGAGUAUUGAAGACUUUAUGUUCAACUGUCACUGAACCUACCAGUUAAGAUGAAGAUUAGGCUCACUUUGAAUGGCGCUAUUCUAAGUAAGAAUAAGCCUAACAUACAAAGACUUUCCUUCUCUCUAACACAAGAAGUAAGUGUGAAAAUGUUAGCAAACAGAGAAAUUGAUGUCAUAUAUUUGGAAAUUCCUUGCAAAAAAGAACCCUGACAACAUACUGAUUUUGAAGGUCUUUGAAAGAUAAUAGAUGUAUAGGUGCUGAUGCCAUCACUGUUUUUCAUGCUGAUGGGUGUUCAACAGAUAUGUCUACUCUAUGAAUUCGUAUUAAGGUGAAAUACUGUGUAAUUGUGUGGACUCAGUAUCUAUGCUGAAGAGCCAGAGGCAAGGGAUGACUACAAGGAAGCAGUCUCAUGGGCACAGUAGGGCUGAUGAAUAUAUCUAUUCACAAGGAUUGUAAUAACACAUGUAUAACCUGGGAAAGCCUAAGCCAGACCAUAUAUUGGAACAGAGAUGGGAAUUGAGUACAAGUUCCACCCACAGCCAAAUAGCUAUUGACAGUAGUUUCUGCAAGGGAGUCCAUUUUUUCUAAAUGUAUAAUUCCAGUAAAUUAACAAUGUUCUCACAAAGGACACAGAUAGAAUAAUAUAUGAGAGUACAAAGUGGUCUUGAUUGGUUUAAAUCCCAAAAACAAAUGGAGACAGAUUGGAUGGGCAAGUUAUUUAGAAUGGAUCUGGAAAAAGUUGGAAGAAAGGCAUCAAGUAUAUUAAAAGCCCAUCAUAUAAAUUUCUCAAAGAACUAAAGCAAUAAAAAUAAGUAGAAAGAAAGGAAGAGAAAGACG